GGCAAAUGGUGAGAAAUGGAAAUUUAAUUCUGGAUCUUUAUUGUUUUGUAACUUGAAAAUAGACAAAGAAACAUUUAAACACAGCCCUGCAAGGUAAAAGAAUGUGCAGCAGCAUUUGAAUACUGGAACUGAUUGUGAAAGCGGUAAACCAGGACCUGGCCAGGAAUUCUUUACUGCCAGCGAUCCCCUGCCAGUGACUAGAGGACUGCCCAGCCCUGGCUGGCACUGCUGCGAUUUUUCAGCGGAUCUGAGGGGAGGGGAAAAUCCAGCCCUGAUUUCAGACAGGCACAGACAUUCCUACGCUCCCCGCGCCAUAUGCUGCAGCGCGUGGGAAUGGAACUUUUGCAGCAUGUUCGUCGGAAGCUUCCUACAUAGCUCAGGGGAAGAGACUAGAUUUUGCUGUAACUAACAAGGGCCUUUUCUCUAACAUACAACAUUGCUGGCUUUGCGUUUCUGAUUUGUGUGAGUCAAGCACGUGUGUGUGCACUUUCGCAAACCCCUUCAACAGAAUGUUAUAGUUUAUGUUGGCUAAAAACAUAGCCAUGGGAUAGUCAGUCUGUCUGUCUGUCUGUCUAUCUAUCUAUGUGGUGUGAUAUAUGUGUGUGUGUAUGUAUGUAUGUGUAUAUAUAAAAACCCCAGAGCUAUAUAUCUGUAACCAAUCUAAGCUAUAGACGUCUGAUUAUAUACCCCAAAGCAAUAUUAUAUAUUACUGUACAAGAACACCUCUAUAGAAGUCCAUAUUUUAUGUUAGCUACAGAUUUAUAAUCCUGUAUGAACCCCGUACAGUACGUAGCUUUAGAUAUUGUCCUGGAAUAUAGUUUAUAAACCCCUCCGGUUUUUGUAUGCUCUAGGAUAAUAGAUAUUGCUGAUUAAUGUGUCUAUGUAUCUACUCAUUUCUAACUACUAUAUAUUUGUUUAAAAAGGGGAAAUGCCUAUUUUCCUUUGCUAGGCUGUCGUUUAAAUGACUAAACCGUUGGUUGGUUUUGUUUUAAAGAUAUAACAUCAGAUCAGCAUAAAACUCCCCAAAUCUUUCCAAAGGUAAAAUAAAGAAACAAAACAAAUCCA